rnacentral:rRNA from 1 species
AAUGAACGUUGGCGGCGUGGAUUAGGCAUGCAAGUCGUACGGGUCGGUGUAGCAAUACAACGGCAAGUGGCGAAAGGGAGAGUAACACGUAGAUACCUACCCUCUGGUCGGGGAUACCGCGGCAUAACCGCAAGUAAUACCCGAUAAAAUCUACGGAUCAAAGGUGUGAUUCCGCCGGAGGAGGGGUCUGCGUUCUAUCAGCUUGUUGGUGAGGUAAUGGCUCACCAAGGCUAAGACGGAUACGGGGUGUGAGAGCAUGCCCCCGCUCACUGGGACUGAGACACUGCCCAGACCCCUACGGGUGGCUGCAGUCGAGAAUCUUCGGCAAUGGGCGCAAGCCUGACCGAGCGACGCCGCGUGCGGGAUGAAGGCCUUCGGGUUGUAAACCGCUGUCGAGGGGAAUGAAGUGUAGGUGGGUACUCCCAUCUAUUUGACAGAUCCCUGGAGGAAGCAUGGGCUAAGUUCGUGCCAGCCGCCGCCGUAAAAC